rnacentral:rRNA from 1 species
GAUGAACGCUGGCGGCGUGCCUAAUACAUGCAAGUCGAGCGAACAGACGAGGAGCUUGCUCCUCUGACGUUAGCGGCGGACGGGUGAGUAACACGUGGAUAACCUACCUAUAAGACUGGGAUAACUUCGGGAAACCGGUGCUAAUACCGGAUAAUAUAUUGAACCGCAUGGUUCAAUAGUGAAAGACGGUUUUGCUGUCACUUAUAGAUGGAUCCGCGCCGCAUUAGCUAGUUGGUAAGGUAACGGCUUACCAAGGCGACGAUGCGUAGCCGACCUGAGAGGGUGAUCGGCCACACUGGAACUGAGACACGGUCCAGACUCCUACGGGAGGCAGCAGUAGGGAAUCUUCCGCAAUGGGUGAAAGCCUGACGGAGCAACGCCGCGUGAGUGAUGAAGGUCUUCGGAUCGUAAAACUCUGUUAUUAGGGAAGAACAAAUGUGUAAGUAACUAUGCACGUCUUGACGGUACCUAAUCAGAAAGCCACGGCUAACUACGUG